GGCAGCUACAGGAAAGGCUGGGAGCCAUCACUGAAGAGCUCCACAGCAUCAGACAGGGGAAAUCUGCCCAGAGACCAAUUCCCUGGCAGAAGCAUCCAAGGGAAGGUUACCAUGCAGAAGAUGCCUGCAAGAGAUAGCAAGCAGCCCAGGGAGGCAGCAGGAAAUGUAAGCAAACAGUUCUUGACUGCCCAACUCAGAGAUCCCAGAGGGCAGACUUGCAUCCCCCCGCCACUCUUCGCAGGGAAGGGAAUAGAGACUGCUGAAGCUCCAGGGUGUUGGUCACAACAUAAGACUACUGAACUUCAUUUUUGUUCCUGCUUCAAUUUCCUUUGUUCUUUCCCUGACAAGGGAGGGAAAGGGACAUAUCGGGCCUGAGACUACCAACUGGAGGCCCAUUACAGGACUCUUCGGCACCCACCUCUUACUACCCCAAAAGAGGAGGGAGGGCUGGAGCCACAGAGAGCGGCUGAGCACUACAGGCCACAUUUCUAAACUGACACCGAUGGAAACCGAGGCAAAUGCCCAGCCACGAGGGGAUGCAUUGAAGGGGAGAAGCCAGAUGACAGAACAAUGUCAUUACCCAAGGACAAAAAGUGGGACCUAUUAAAAGGCAAAAGUCCAAUACUGCUCUGAAAGAAGUCCAUGGGAAGAACAUGGACAGGCCCAGUAUCAUUAUAACCUCUAUUUCAUGGAUUACUAUUAUGUACAAGGCCACAGCACGGCAACCUAUGACUUGAUUGAUUCCACUAACCAAGGCUCAUCUUCUAAGCCUCAGAUUUAUUUGUGGUGAUGCCAAUUCUCUUUACAGGAUUAAUACAUAUGUAUAUUUCAAGUGAAAUUCACCUGGUAAAAUUCAUACCAGAAUAGAGGGCUUGCACAAAACAACAAAAGCCUCUUAGUGGAACUUAAACUUACUACAUCGAGAUUUUGAGUGACUCAUUGGGCUUUCUGUGAGCUUUCUUCAUUGCCAUAAGUUUCACCUUUGUAAUAAUCAUGGUCUGCCAGAGAAAGCUGCAAUUGACAUUAGUCACCAAAUUCAGCAAUCUGUAAAAAUUCAAUCUAGACAAUAUAUUUGAUAAUGAGGCUCAUAUUCCCUUUCAAUUUUUCUUCCAUUGCAAAAACAUUCAACCCAUCAUUAGGGUGACCAGAUAGCAAGUGUAAAAAAUCGGGAUAGGGUGGGGGGGUAAUAGGUGCCUAUAUAAGAAAAAGCCCCCAAAAUUGGGACUGUCCCUAUAAAAUCAGGACAUCUGGUCACCCUACCCAUCAUGCAAACAGCCAAAAAGACCUAUAUACUGCAACUAUUAAGAGACUCUCCCUUUUACAGGACUAAAAAAGUCUAAGGGUUAUUUGGGUCACGUCAUAAUGUAAAAACAGUUAAACACGACAUGUGUAUGUGAAGGUGAGAGAGUGAGAUCAGUCGUGCUGGAGUAUAUGUGAACAUGCUAGCAGCCAAUCAGAAAAAAAACCCACCAUCUAAAAUUCUUAAGUAGAAAUGUAGGUAUUCUCCAUAUACAAUACCUCUAAAGAAAUUGUUUAAUGAAACUUCCUAGAACAAAGGCAACAAAAUAUGUAUUGGAAAAGUCAAUGGUAUAUAGCACAUAAUGUAUUGAACAUUUAGUAGAUGUGGAAAUGAAACUCCAGUACUUCUUUCAGAUCAUCUAUGUCUACCAUCUCUAACACCUGUAAUAGUGUUAUGGAACACGUUAACCCUUGUUAUUAAAAGGAUGAAACAGAAAUAUGAAUGUAUCUACAAAUAUAGGAUAUUAUGUUUUGCAGAAAUAUUCUGAAGUAUAAAGCAAAGUAUGGUGUACUCUAACAUCUUUUUCAAAAGGCAAGACAGUUGGAAAAGAUAUGACUUAUUAAUCAUACUAAGUCAUUUUUCAAUCUUUGUCCUUUAUUAAAUUACACCAAAAAUGUCAUGUUCAUUUUAAAAUUCCCUUUUCAUGCAAUUCCUUAUUUUAAUUUAAGUAGCAAUCAUAUCAAAAGAAAAACUGCUGUUCAAGGGAUGGGAAUUUGCUUAAAUAAUUACUGAAGUGGAACAGACUUUUCUGGUCAUUCUGACAUUAUGUCAUAUAUCACUGCAUUUUCAGAAAGCUUUCUGGAUGUGUUGUACAUCCAAAAAAUAAAUCAAGAAGAGAAGUAGAUAAUUUAUAGAGUUGUCAGGAAUCAGUUUUAACACUUACUUUUGCGAAGAUCUGAAAAAUGUCUAUUGCAGGUAGCAGCUGAAAAGUAUCCUGGAUCUCCACUCUCAAAUAAAGCUGCAAUGUCUGUGCCAGGUGCCUGAGACCCUCUUUCAUUUCUUCACUUAACUCUUCAAUAUCUUAGGGGAAAAAAAUACAGCAAAGCAUGAAUAAAACCUUCUGUCAACAUCUUUAAGAAGUCCAAUGGCAGCAGUUCAAUCUAGACAUUUCCAAUCCCAAUUUUAAUUUUGACAGAAAGUAAUUAUAUACCACUACUUUUGACAGCUGCAUAUCAUCACUAAGCAGAGUUUAUCAAGUUGCUACUUCCAAAUCACAAACAUUAUGAACAAAAUUUCAGAAGGGCAAGCCAGAAGAAAACAAACCAAUUGUACUAUGCAUUUACAGCCAUGUGGAUGGUGAUUACUUACUUGACUGAAGAUCAGAAAAAGAGUAGAGUUUCUCAGAAGGACAUGCUGCUGAUUGUCCAAGCUGAAGGGAAAAACCAAAAAUAAUGAAUGCAUGAUAAUAAGCAUUUAUAGAGCACAUUUUAUCUCCAAAGUACUGAAUUACUCAUUACCGUGAAAAUUCCCUUUGUGUGGCUACAUGAAUGGCCCCAGAAGGAAGGACAGAGAGUGUAUCAAGAACUGGAAGUGGUAGUUCAUGGGAAUCUGUGAACUGAUGGGUUGAAAAUAAACAUCUAAUUUUACGUUCUGUGUGAGUAAUCAGAUGAUUAUAAGCAAUAUAACACUAUGAAUAGCAUCAGAUGGAUGAUUUUAACUUUAAAUAACAAGGUGUCAAUAUCAGGUAGCAGUUAUUUUACUUUGGAGUAUCUUUCUUAUGCCUUCAAGUAAUAAAUUCGUUAAUAUUUUUUUCUUCCACAUGGGAGCCUUGUUCUUAUAUUUCUUUAUUUGUAACUCUACA